UCGAGGGAUUUAACCAGAAAC
rnacentral:piRNA from 1 species